GUAUAAUGAGGGUCUAUGGUGAGUCCUUUUAUAAAAGUUUUGCUUAUUGCACAUCAGUCCUUUUUUUAAUUAAAAUUAUUGUAAUAAUUAAACUUAUUUUACUUAGAUUUAAAUCAUAUAAUUAAUAUCUAACUCUUAAUUUGUUUUUUUAAAGUCCAAAUUCCUUCAUUAUCUAUGUUCUUCAUUCUUCAUGUGUUCAUCAUUCACCACCAAAAUCCUUCAUUUUUACUUAACAACAACAACCUCAACAACAAAUUUCUGGAAAUUACUACCUUUGUUCUACAUAUGAGCUUUCUCCCCAAACGUGAGUUUGAUACUCAACCGUGAUUUAAACUAAUUCCUUUGAUGUUGGAUGAUUGCAAAAGCAAACCCCAGAUCUGUAGCCUCAAACGCUAGUUAACUCAAAGGUAUUUGAUUUCAAGUUUGACAGUCUCAAACACGUUUUCC
rnacentral:lncRNA from 1 species